rnacentral:rRNA from 1 species
UACAGAGGGUGCAAGCGUUAAUCGGAGUUACUGGGCGUAAAGGGUGCGUAGGUGGUUGCUUAAGUUAGAUGUGAAAUCCCUGGGCUUAACCUAGGAACUGCAUCUAAUACUGAGUGACUAGAGUAUUGUAGAGGGUAGUGGAAUUUCCGGUGUAGCGGUGAAAUGCGUAGAGAUCGGAAGGAACACCAGUGGCGAAGGCGGCUACCUGGACAAAUACUGACACUGAGGCACGAGAGCGUGGGGAGCAAACAGG